GAGCCUAUGUAGCCGAGCGAGCCAGUCGAGCGGUCGUCGACGGCAGAAAGUGUGGCUUUAUUUUACUAAAAAAAAAUCAAAUAUCGGCGAAAUGCAACACGUGCGACAGGACUGUUUCGUGCUUAGGUGGGUGCACGUCGAACAUGAUGAAGCACCUCCGAGUUCAUGGAGUACUAAUAAAUGCGUGUCCCGUCUUUGAAGCGCGGCGCCUAUCUGUCCUCCUCUGCCUCUACCUCUGGCUCCGGCUCCGACGCGCAGCCUGGCACCUCGGUGACUGCACUGCAGACCGAAUCCGACAAUUUACAACCUGCUAGCCAAGCUCCGCCAUGUGCUCAGCGUACUCCGUUCACCGUAGCGGCAAUGGGGAAGAUGUCGGUGCCACAGAAAGGUCACUGCACACAAAGUCAAAAGACUGCAUCCCUUUUCAGAGGUGGAAUCUCCAACAUUUAGGUUAGUUAAGCAAUAACGUCAGAGCUAAGCUAAUUGAUACUGGGCUAAACAGUAACAGCAACAUUACAUGUUUGUUUAUGUUUGCAGGGAUAUGGUGAAAACUCUCAACCCAAAAUGCAUACCACCUUCCAGGGACUACCUGGCAAACACAUUGAACCCGGCAUCGGAAUCGAGAGUCGUCAGGAAUCGGAAUCGAAACAAAGAAUCGGAAUCGUUCGAAUUCUAACGAUACCCAACCCUAGUGAAAGUGUUCUAGGCAGCAUGUGUGAUGGUAUAUGGGGGUGUAUUAGUGAUUGUUCUAGGUUGAAAGUGUUCUAGGCAGCAUGUGUGAUGGUAUGGGGGUGUAUUAGUGGCCAAGGCAUGGGUAACUUACACAUCUGUGAAGGCACCAUUAAUGCUGAAAGGUACAUACAGGUUUUGGAGCAACAUAUGUUGUCAUCCAAGCAACGUUAUCAUGGACGGCCCUGCUUAUUUUAGCAAGACAAUGCCAAGUCAGGUGUUACAACAGCGUGGCUUCAUAGUAAAAGAGUGCGGGUACUAGACUGGCCUGCCUGUAGUCCAGACCUUGAAAAAUGUGUGAAGGCUAAAAUAUGAGGCAGGAGACUGUUGAACAACUAAAGCUGUACAUCAAGCAAGAAUGGGAAAGAAUUCCACUUCAAAAAUGUGUCUCCUCAGUUCCCAAACCUUUACUGAGUGUUGUUCAAAGGAAAGGCCAUGUAACACACUGGUAAAAAUGCCUUUUUUGUCAUGUGUUGCUGCCAUUAUAUUCUGAUUAUUUGCAAAAAAUAACAAAGUGUGUCAGUGUGAAGAUGAAAUAUCUUGUCUCUGCAGCCUAUUUAAUUGAAUAUAAGUUGAAAAGGA